GCCACACCAACCUCGAUCUUUCCACCCGGGCAGCCCGAAUUCCGAUCUUGCGGCCAAUAUUCCUGCCCAAGCGCGGCCGUAGAUGGUUCUAGAAUUCUUCCACGUGUCACCACCUAACCCUUAACUAUCUCACGCUCUGCAUUUCAUUUCUCUUCGUCUCUCCCACUUCCUCUAUAAGCCCAAAACCCUUCGCUUCUCUAUCUUCUCCGUGCUUUAGCUUCUGCAUACCCACAAGCUCAAAAGCUGAGUUAGGGUUUUAUCCUAAUUCUCCCCCAAUUUGUUGUUAGGAUUUUGAACAAGUUCAUUCUCCUGCUGUAAUUCCCAUUUCUAGAGGUAGAUUUUAUUAAAUCUAAUUCCAUACAAAAUCCUAGAGAAUGGCUUCUUCAACCGCUCAGAUUCACGUUCUAGGUGGUGUUGGGUUUUCUUCCUCUUCCUCGAGAAAACAUAGUUUUUCUUUUUCACAGAAGACUGUUUUCUUUGGUCAAAAUCUAAGGUCGCAAAAGGCGGCUUUUCUGAGAUGCAGUAACACUACAAGGAGAAGGUAUAGCACUGGCCCUUUGAGAGUAGUGAAUGAGAAGGUAGUGGGAAUUGACCUGGGUACCACCAAUUCUGCAGUUGCAGCAAUGGAGGGAGGGAAGCCGACGAUUGUGACAAAUGCAGAGGGUCAGAGGACUACACCUUCUGUUGUGGCAUACACAAAGAAUGGGGAUAGGCUUGUGGGGCAGAUUGCAAAGCGGCAGGCAGUGGUGAACCCAGAGAAUACUUUCUUCUCUGUGAAGAGGUUUAUUGGCAGAAAGAUGUCUGAAGUGGAUGAAGAGUCAAAGCAGGUUUCUUAUAAAGUAUUUAGGGAUGAGAAUGGAAAUGUUAAGUUGGAUUGCCCUGCAAUUGGUAAGCAGUUUGCUGCUGAGGAGAUUUCUGCUCAGGUUUUGAGGAAGCUUGUGGACGAUGCCUCAAAGUUUUUGAAUGAUAAAGUGACUAAAGCUGUGGUAACAGUGCCUGCAUACUUCAAUGAUUCCCAAAGGACAGCGACAAAAGAUGCUGGCCGAAUUGCUGGGCUGGAUGUUCUUCGAAUAAUCAAUGAACCCACUGCUGCUUCAUUGGCAUAUGGGUUUGAAAAGAAGAACAAUGAAACCAUCCUAGUAUUUGACCUUGGUGGUGGCACUUUUGAUGUUUCUGUGCUUGAGGUUGGUGAUGGAGUUUUUGAAGUGCUUUCUACUUCAGGAGAUACACAUUUGGGUGGUGAUGACUUUGAUAAGAGAAUUGUUGAUUGGCUUGCUAGUGACUUUAAGAGGGAUGAAGGCAUUGAUCUUUUGAAGGACAAACAAGCACUUCAGAGAUUGACCGAGACAGCUGAGAAGGCUAAAAUGGAGCUGUCAUCAUUGACUCAGACAAACAUAAGUUUGCCUUUCAUCACUGCUACUGCUGAUGGACCCAAGCACAUUGAGACCACACUUACAAGAGCCAAGUUUGAGGAGUUGUGUUCAGAUUUGCUUGACAGGCUUAAAACACCAGUCGAGAAUUCCUUGAGGGAUGCAAAACUCUCCUUUAAAGACCUUGAUGAGGUGAUACUUGUUGGUGGAUCAACACGAAUUCCAGCUGUACAGGAACUCGUGAAGAAAAUGACUGGGAAGGACCCGAAUGUCACUGUCAAUCCAGAUGAAGUAGUUGCCCUAGGUGCUGCAGUUCAGGUUGUCCUACUCCCUUAUAUUCUCAGUAGAAGAUUGUGUCCUGUAUUUCUUAUGUUUGUUUGCAAUAAUGCUCAUAGUUUAAUUUCUUUUGACAUUAUGGAAUCAUAGUUUGUAAGCUGAUGUAUUCCAUCCUCUUCCUUGUUGAGACUAGGCUGGUGUUUUAUCUGGAGAUGUCAGUGAUAUUGUGCUGUUGGAUGUAACACCAUUGUCACUUGGUCUGGAGACUCUUGGAGGGGUCAUGACAAAAAUCAUUCCCAGAAACACUACUCUGCCCACAUCCAAAUCUGAGGUAUUCUCAACUGCUGCAGAUGGACAGACAAGUGUUGAAAUUAAUGUUCUUCAGGGUGAGAGAGAGUUUGUCAGGGACAACAAGUCCCUUGGCAGCUUCCGCCUUGAUGGUAUCCCACCAGCACCGCGUGGAGUUCCUCAAAUCGAAGUUAAAUUUGACAUCGAUGCCAAUGGCAUUCUUUCUGUUACUGCUGUUGAUAAAGGUUCAGGGAAGAAGCAAGACAUCACAAUUACUGGUGCUAGCACCUUACCCAGUGAUGAGGUUGAAAGAAUGGUGAAUGAAGCUGAGAAAUUUGCAAAGGAGGACAAGGAGAAGAGAGAUGCCAUUGACACAAAGAACCAGGCAGAUUCUGUUGUCUACCAGACUGAGAAGCAGCUGAAAGAGCUAGGAGACAAGGUUCCAGCUCCAGUUAAAGAGAAGGUUGAGGCAAAACUCAAGGAGCUCAAGGAUGCAAUUGCAGGUGGAUCAACCCAAGGAAUGAAAGAUGCCAUGGCUGCCCUUAAUCAAGAAGUCAUGCAACUUGGUCAGUCGCUUUACAACCAACCAGGCGCAGGUGGUACUGGCCCUGCACCUGGAAGUGAAGCUGGACCAUCAGAUUCAUCAAACAAAGGACCUGAUGGAGAUGUUAUUGAUGCAGACUUCACCGAUAGCAAGUGAGAUGGCAAGAUAGUUGGCUAGUUUUUGAGCCCCUUCCUGGUGAUGUGCAUAAGAAAUUGGUUCUGCCUGGUUUAAGGAUUACUGCAUUUCCAGACAUUUUUGCUCUUUGGAGAGAGAAGAAUUGUUUUUAGGAAUAUAGAGGACCAAGCACCUAAUAGCAAACCCAUAAUAGUGCACUUUUUUGUUUUUUAAAUUAUAACAUUAUUUAGAUUUUAAUUAUGGCUUUGAUUAUUGCAAGUUUUGUUAUUAGUGCCAUAUCUUGGAGUUGCUUCAAUGGAUUUGCCAGUGAUCCAAUUAUAUAUAAAGUGAAUCCCCCUUUGAAGAACUCAUAGGAACCUUGCAUGAAUUGCAGUUGUAUGUUAAACUAAGAAGUUUGAAUUUUAGGUUCACUUGUAGCUUUAUGUUUGAAUGUUUUCGUGCCUGAAGACUGGAAUCUGGACUCUGGACCUAGGAAAAGGUUUUUGUAUUUUUUUGGUAGGAGAGGACUCGAACUUUGGUUGACUGGGUGAGAUCACGGACUGCAAUUAUCUUAGCUGCCUUUGUAUUCACUUUGAUAAUGCAGCCAGCGGAGGAUGGCGGUGAUACACCCCUAAGAUAUGCUUCACAGAACUUCUCCAGCCAUGGGCUUCUAUAGCGAUACUAAAGUAUAUAGAGAUGCGUAUUAUUUAUUUAUUGCUUAAAUAUAUAAAAUUUAUAAUUAUAAUUUCUCCAUUUCACAAAAAUAA
rnacentral:misc_RNA from 1 species